rnacentral:rRNA from 1 species
CGGUAGCUAUGUUCGGAAUCGAUAACCGCUGAAAGCAUCUAAGCGGGAAGCGAGCCCCAAGAUGAGUCAUCCCUUGGACUAUAAGUCCACUAAAGAGCCGUUCGAGACUAGGACGUUGAUAGGUCAGGUGUGUAAGCGUUGUGAGGCGUUGAGCUAACUGAUACUAAUGACUCGAGAGGCUUAACCAUACAACCCAGAUGGGUUUUG